rnacentral:rRNA from 1 species
GACGAACGCUGGCGGCGUGCUUAACACAUGCAAGUCGAACGAUGAACCCGGAGCUUGCUCCGGUGGAUUAGUGGCGAACGGGUGAGUAACACGUGAGUAACCUGCCCUUGACUCUGGGAUAACUGCGGGAAACUGUAGCUAAUACCGGAUACGACCCUCGGCGGCAUCGCCAGGGGGUGGAAAGAAUUUCGGUCAAGGAUGGACUCGCGGCCUACCAGCUAGUUGGUGAGGUAACGGCUCACCAAGGCGACGACGGGUAGCCGGCCUGGGAGGGGGACCGGCCACACAGGGACAGGGAAACGGCCCAGACUGCUUAGGGGGGCAGCAGUGGGGAAUAUUGCACAAUGGGCGGAAGCCUGAUGCAGCAACGCCGCGUGAGGGAUGACGGCCUUCGGGUUGUAAACCUCUUUUAGCGGGAAGAAGCGAAAGUGACGGUACCUGCAGAAAAAGCACCGGCUAACUACGUGCCAGCAGCCGCCGUAA